AUGUAUUUGGCAGGCUAUAUGAGAAAAUAUGGGGGUGUGAUCCAGGCAUUGAUAUAUAUUGUAAAGCUAUCCAGAUGCAUACCAAUCAUGACAAAACAAGAGCAGAAAAGUGGACUUUCAGUAAUGUGUUCAUCAGCCACAGUACGCCAUAGCUUUUUUUGUUAUUGAAUUGGAUAGCAAAGUAUGGGAGCUGUUACGUGAUGACCCUAAAAGUAUGCUAAAAUAAUACAUCAUACAUUAACAUUUCCUGACAAAGCACUUGUUAAAUAUUCCCAACUCCCAAGAAAGCCAUGGUCAGAAACAUUACAAAAUUUAAAAUAUUUUAUCAGAGCAGAAUUUCUUCAUCAAAAUUAAAAAGUCAGAAUGUGCCUGACUAGUAAAUUAAUCUUCUGUGUACCUCAAUUGUUAGUUGAGUAAAGAAUAUUGUUUGCUGAUAGUGAGGUAAUAAAUUGUUGUUGGUAGAAGCUGCUGAAGAAAUGUGAACGAAGAAAUACACGUUUAAAAACUUUGGCCAUUCUCUGAGAGGAUCAUAUAAAAUAAUUUAAUUGACAUUCAUAGUGAUUUAAAAAAAAAAAAACGAAUGAUUUUUGUGGCUUCCCUUGUCUCUUGAAAGGACUAAUAUUGUUAGGUUUCAGAGAGUCAACAGUAAGUCUCUGAGAAUUCACCUCCACGAAGUACUUUGGGGAAAACUAUGAACCCACCAUGUAUUAUUGAAUGAAUAGUGUAAGUACUAUACUUUACUUGUUCUUGUAUAUUCUCAAAUGCUCUCACUCAUUGUGAAAUCAUAUAUAUACACACACACACACACACACACAUAUAUACAUAUAUAAAUUAGUGCUUAAUGUGAAAUAUCAACAAUUAAUAUUUGAAUUACAAGUAAUGUUAAUUUGCCUUGUAUAACUCCGAUGAUGUCAAAAGCUAAAUCAAGUAGAGACACCUUCAUUCUCAUACAGACUUGCAUCAGGUAAAAUAUUCUGAGCCCAAAUUACAGUUCCAGCCGUGUUACUUGGAUUUCUCAUCAAAUGCCAAGGAAAUUUCUAUAUUUCAAAAUCUAUUUAAUAAAAGGAAAUGUGGACAUCUCUACCAAAUCUUCAAUUAGAAGUAAUUAUCUCAAAGAAAUGACAAGCAAUGCAUUAAAUGUUAAUCCAUAAGAAGUCUAUAGAUGUUUUCAAACUACUGAAUGUGCUCAAUUAAAAUCAUAUGCUUGUGGACUGAAAUAAUAGUACCUAUACAUGUGAAAAUGCACUUUUAAAGAUGAGAUACAUACAAUGUUACUAAAAAU
rnacentral:lncRNA from 1 species